GCCUUGAUGGUGCAGCGGUAGUAGCACGCGUCCUCGGUAUGGAUAAAACUCGGGUUCGAUUCUCGCGUGAGACC